rnacentral:rRNA from 1 species
UACGUAGGUGGCAAGCGUUGUCCGGAAUAACUGGGCGUAAAGCGCAUGUAGACGGCAUGAUAAGCCAAAUGUGAAAUGUAGGGGCUCAACCCCUACACUGCGAUUAGAACUGUCAAGCUUGAGUGCAGGAGAGGCAAAUGGAAUUCCCAGUGUAGCAGUGAAAUGCGUAGAGAUUGGGAGGAACACCAGUGGCGAAGGCGAUUUGCUGGACUGCAACUGACGUUGAGAUGCGAAAGCCAGGGGAGCAAACGGG